AACGAACGCUGGCGGCAGGCUUAACACAUGCAAGUCGAACGCACCUUUCGGGGUGAGUGGCAGACGGGUGAGUAACGCGUGGGAAUCUACCCUUCUCUACGGGAUAGCUCCGGGAAACUGGAAUUAAUACCGUAUACGUCCUGAGGGAGAAAGAUUUAUCGGGGAAGGAUGAGCCCGCGUUGGAUUAGCUAGUUGGUGGGGUAAAGGCCUACCAAGGCGACGAUCCAUAGCUGGUCUAAGAGGAUGAUCAGCCACAUUGGGACUGAGACACGGCCCAAACUCCUACGGGAGGCAGCAGUGGGGAAUAUUGGACAAUGGGCGCAAGCCUGCUCCAGCCAUGCCGCGUGAGUGAUGAAGGCCCUAGGGUUGUAAAGCUCUUUCAGUGGGGACGAUAAUGACGGUACCCACAGAAGAAGCCCCGGCUAACUUCGU
rnacentral:rRNA from 1 species